rnacentral:misc_RNA from 1 species
GUUUCCUCGAAGUUGGAGAAUUAGGAUCAGGAGUUAGAGGCAUUUGGUUGUGGGAAGCAGUGGGUGGGGACAUCCAAGGGACAUUCCAAGAGCCUGGUAUUGUACAACCCCAAUAAGUGGUUGCAGGGAAGAAAGACAUAGGAAUGCCGGGAAGGGAGUAACCAGGUGGAGGUACUGCAUUUCUACAGUGCACAGAACUCCAUAUGUAUGGCCAAGGAGCUCCAGUAAAGCAAGGUAAAUGAGUUGGAA